rnacentral:lncRNA from 1 species
AAGUCAAAAGAAAUGUGCAUCUUGAUUCCACAUUCCUCAAAUCAUCUAUGUAUCUACUUUUAUUUCUUAGGAAGGGAGUUAUGCCAAAUACGAGAUUAUGUAUUUAUAGAGAGUGGAAGUGUAAUUCUUUAUUCAUGAGUUUUUGUUUUUGUUCUGAGGAUUUAGACUGCAAAGUGAGGAAAUUCUUACAUAAUUGCAAGUCUAAGGCUCUAGGCGAUUGGACUGGAUCUCCAACUUUUACGUAAGAUAACUUAGGAGUGGCUCAGAGGGCUUCACAAAUCAGCAACCUUUGAUCUAUAUUCUUCUUGAAGAAUAUAUUUCCUUUUCUUUUGCUCGUGAUCACUCUUAGUUUUGGUUUCAGGGAAUGUGAGUGUGUACUCUUUCUUUAUGAAAAAAAAACAACUCGGAAAAUGGAAAUGAUAACCCUGAUAAUCCAAACUUAAGCACAGAAGUUGUUGUACAGUGGAGCUGUAAACUGUAAUCUUGAAAUUUAGAGAUACGAUUGUAAUUGCAAUGUAAUUAUUAAAACUUCAUCCAAAAUAAGUCAUUUAUUAAUUAAUUAAGGAUUAAGGGAGAUAUAUCCUUAACUAUUACUUAUGAUAAAAUUAUAAUGGAAAAAUAUCGAAAGAAAUAACUCUACCUAUGUAAAUUGACCUUAAAAAUGAAGAAAAUAACCAUUUUAAGGUUUCGAUUUGCUAUGUGGGCAGGCAUAUUUUCUCCCUUUUUGUUAUUAUGACUGCACUUCACUUCAUAGAAAAUGAUCAAUUUACUACAGAAAGAUAAUAACACAAAAGGAAGAAGUGUGCAAUGCAAAUGUUUUUUUUUCCAAAAUCAACCGUAAUUGAUUUUUUCAAACAAAUCAAUGACCAAGUACAUCAUUAAACCCACCUCUAUGUUGGAAGAGAUAUAGGUCAUGUUCUUUAUUUAACAUUCUAAUAUAUCCUCCCCAAGCUUACAUAUAUUAUAGAUGACCAAAAGGGAAAAAUCCAGUGUGGAAUGUGCAUGCGAAAAGAAAAAAAACCGAAAAGGAAUAUGGUAAUCCUAACUAUUCGAAGAAUGUUAUGGAGGAGAGAAAAAAUAAUACUCAUGACGUUCCAUUAAUACAAUCAGCUGUGACUAAAGAGGAAGGAAAAAAGCAUAUAAACAAUUAAAUUUCCUAGUAUUACUCGACGUCGAUCCCCAAUUCUACUCUCAGUCCAAAUAGGACUUACAAUUAUAUCUCCACAACAAGUUUGGUCAUCACAUAAAGGAUAAAUAGAUUGACAGUGUUAAUCCGGUAUGGAAUGGGCUUGUUAUAAACAAAGAAACCGAAAAUCAUAAUGGUAACCUUAACAAUUUGAAGAAUGUUUUGGAGGAGAGAAAGAAUAAUCCUCAUGACAUUUCAUUAGAUCAGCUACAAUCAGCUUUGACAAGAGAGGAAGGAAAAAAGAAUAUAUUAUGGGAUAUUUUCUAGAAUUACUCCGAUUUUAGUCCCCAAUUCUACUUUAAGCUCAACAAGGACUUACAAUUAUAACUCUGCAACCAAUCCUCUGGGUUACGCUCUGUCUUUAAUGAGCACACACGAACGUUCAAUCAGGCCAGCUAAAAAACACACCGGAUUUACAUGGAUGUAGAUAAUAUUCAGAGCUAAAAAAAUAAUUUCAUUUUACCAGGACUACAUUCAGAAAGGCCGAUGGUCAUUGGUCCAAAAUGAGCUAAUAUAAGAAUAAGUAUGGAAUAAAACUUUUUCUACAAACUUGAACUUUCAGAAAUACUUUGUUUAUUUAAUAAUCAUUAAUUCAAUUUUCACAAUUGAAAAUUUUUUGAGCCAAGUACUCUCCAGUUAAAAUUGUGUUACUCCGCCGUUGGUUAUACUCAUUAGUAUGAUCCAAUAUUAUUAUGUUAAAUAAGUUUCAAAGUCUCUCUUUAUCUUCAUUUAAAACUUUUUUUAUACCAAAAAUGAUAUUUCAUCUAUUAAUGAUAAUGAUUCUUUACAAUUAUAGGGAUUCUUACCAAUUUGAUAAAUCUUACGACAUAAGUUGUAUUUCUUAUCAGAUGGGCA